UGAGUAAGACAGAUGGUCGCGGCUGCAGAACCGAAAGGCUGCAGGUGAGGAAAGUCCGGGCUUCACAGGGCAGGAUGCCAGAUAACGUCUGGUGGAGGCGACUCCAAGGACAGUGCAACAGAAAUGUACCGCCUGGUUUACCGGGUAAGGGUGGAAGGGCAGUGUAAGAGACUACCGCCCGGCUGGUAACAGCCGGGGCACAUGUAAACCCCAUCCGAAGCAAGACCGAACAGAGAGCGCAAGGCGGCCCGUCUGCUCUCGGGUAGGUCGCUUGAGCCUGCUGGCGACAGCAGGACUAGAUAGAUGACCAUUCAACGACAUAACCCGGCUUACCGUUUUGCUCAAAUC
rnacentral:RNase_P_RNA from 1 species